rnacentral:misc_RNA from 1 species
AGUUGAGUUGAGUUGAGUUUGUCAAAAUGAGAGAUGGAGGGAACAUAGAGGGAGAUAGUGAAAGGAGGAAAUAUGUUUGUUAUUUGAACAAGGAGAACAAUCCAACUUUUGCUUGAAUUCCUAGGUAAAUAAAACUGAACUCUUUACUUCCUUUGUUAUCUCUCUCAAAUCCUCCAUUACAUCAACUUGUGGUUGCCUUUUUAUUAGGUAGAAUUCAAUAUUUGGUGUCUAUUCCGUAGUGUUCUAGAAAAUCUGCUUUUUCUUGUUUGAGGUUAAACUUUUUAAAGGAGCUAGAGAAGGAAAUGACUCAAAGGUUACAACUUUAUUCUCAUUAAUUCUAUAAA